rnacentral:misc_RNA from 1 species
GAUGAAGAACGCAGCGAAAUGCGAUAAGUAAUGCGAAUUGCAGAAUUCAGCGAGUCAUCGAAUCUUUGAACGCACAUUGCGCCCCCUGGUAUUCCGGGGGGCAUGCCUGUCCGAGCGUCAUUGCUGCCCUCAAGCACGGCUUGUGUGUUGGGCCUCCGUCCUCCUCCCGGGGGACGGGCCCGAAAGGCAGCGGCGGCACCGCGUCCGGUCCUCGAGCGUAUGGGGCUUCGUCACCCGCUCUUGUAGGCCCGGCCGGCGCUUGCCGACACAUCAAUCUUUUUUCCAGGUUGACCUCGGAUCAGGUAGGGAUACCCGCUGAACUUAAGCAUAUCAAUAAGCGGAGGA